rnacentral:rRNA from 1 species
GACGAACGCUGGCGGCGUGCUUAACACAUGCAAGUCGAACGGAAAGGCCCUGCUUUUGUGGGGUGCUCGAGUGGCGAACGGGUGAGUAACACGUGAGUAACCUGCCCUUGUCUUUGGGAUAACUUCAGGAAACUGGGGCUAAUACCGGAUAGGAGCUCCUGCUGCAUGGUGGGGGUUGGAAAGUGUCGGCGGUUGGGGAUGGACUCGCGGCUUAUCAGCUUGUUGGUGGGGUAGUGGCUUACCAAGGCUUUGAAGGGUAGCCGGCCUGAGAGGGUGACCGGCCACCUGGGGCCUGCGAUACGGCCCAGACUCCUACGGGAGGCAGCAGUGGGGAAUAUUGCACAAUGGGCGGAAGCCUGAUGCAGCAACGCCGCGUGCGGGAUGACGGCCUUCGGGUUGUAAACCGCUUUCGCCUGUGGCGAAGCGUGAGUGACGGUAAUGGGUAAAGAAGCACCGGCUAACUACGUG